rnacentral:rRNA from 1 species
UACGAAGGGGGCGAGUGUUGUUCGGAUUUACUGGGCGUAAAGGGCGCGUAGGCGGCGGCCCAAGUCGAGUGUGAAAGCCCCGGGCUCAACCUGGGAGGUGCGCUCGAGACUGGUCUGCUUGAGUUCGGGAGAGGAGCGUGGAAUUCCCAGUGUAGAGGUGAAAUUCGUAGAUAUUAGGAAGAACACCAGUGGCGAAGGCGGCUCACUGGCCCGGUACUGACGCUGAGGCGCGAGAGCGUGGGGAGCAAACAGG